rnacentral:rRNA from 1 species
GUGGCGCACGGGUGAGUAACGCGUGGAUAAUCUACCUCCAAGACGGGGAUAACGGCUGGAAACGGUCGCUAAUACCGGAUACGCUCCCGAUUUUAUCGUUGGGGGGAAAGAUGGCCUCUACUUGUAAGCUAUCGCUUGGGGAUGAGUCCGCGUCCCAUUAGCUAGUUGGCGGGGUAACAGCCCACCAAGGCAACGAUGGGUAGCCGGUCUGAGAGGAUGACCGGCCACACUGGGACUGGAACACGGCCCAGACUCCUACGGGAGGCAGCAGUGGGGAAUAUUGCGCAAUGGGCGAAAGCCUGACGCAGCGACGCCGCGUGAGGGAUGAAGGUUUUCGGAUCGUAAACCUCUGUCAGGGGGGAAGAAACCCCCAUGCGUUAAUACCGCAUGGGAUUGACGGUACCCCCAAAGGAAGCGCCGGCUAACUCCGUGCCAGCAGCCGCGGUAAUACGGAGGGUGCAAGCGUUAAUCGGAAUCACUGGGCGUAAAGCGCACGUAGGCGGCUUGGUAAGUCAGGGGUGAAAGCCCACA